GACGCUGUGCCGCAGUGGUUACCGGGCGGCCCUGCUAAGGCCGUGGGAUCUUCCUUCGCGCGUUCGAAUCGCGUCGGCGUCG